GCUGACACAUCCCGGCCAAUCUCCAGCAGACCCUCCCUCCCAGACCCUCCCACCUCCUGGACAGCAUCCAUGUUGAAGGGAGCUUCAACAUGCAUGCUGUCCAGGAGGUGGGAGGGUCUGGGAGGGAGGGUCUGCUGGAGAUUGGCCGGGAUGUGUCAG
rnacentral:miRNA from 1 species